AGGAAAGAACCCUCGCAGUACCUAGAAGGAAAGAACAGGGCAAUGGCAGAGCUAAUCAGCUACAGCUGUGUACUGCUGGGGAACUCAAGCAAGAAGCAAUGUUCAAAAUAAAGUACUAGAGAAUACGCUGAAGAACAAUCGUCAUUAAAAUCAAAAGGCUGAAGGCAAUGGAAUAAAUCAAUAGUUUCCAGGGGCCUUGCAGAAGUCAAUGGCAGCCAUUCGUAUCCUGAGGAACAAGGCCUCUGAUAUGCAGGAGAGACAGAGGCUGCAGGCAUCUGUGCGUUCCUUUCCUUUAGGUUUAUGAAGGGUCUGUUUAUGUUUCCUGCCUCUAGAGGGCUCUCUGUUACCUUUUGGCAAAAGAGUUCUGAAAAAGGUUUUUGGUGGUGCCCGCUGGCACUAUUAACAAAGAAACAGCCAAUGUUGCAUUCAUGUUUUUUUGCCUUGUCUCUCGAAGCUUAAAAUGUGAAAUGUUUUCAUAGUACAUUAAUACCUUCCUGCCUGUGUGGUUUAUUAUGCCAGGGAUACUUGUGAGUGCAGUAAGCCUGCCACUGACAUGAUUUAAAAGAAAAAAGCAUAGAAAGGCACGAUCUAGUAGUUUGGACACUAUCUUUAAAUUAGGUUCUGUCAUGCCUUAAAACCAAAAGGGCCAUCCACUCCUGUUUCCCUCAGUGGCCAAUACCAGUUGCUUCAGAGAAGUGGGCAAGAAACCCUACAUUUCAAAGGGAGGGGAUAACUUGUCCCAGGGAAAGUUUCUUCCUAAUUCCCAUUAAUUAAAGGUUGGUUUAAGCCCUGAAGUACAAGGGUUAUAUCUCUCUCUGAAAAUUCUUUUGUUGGUGUUUUGUGCUUUCCCUGUAAACAUGCAUGUCCAGUGUUAAUAGUAAUAUCUCAUCUAUUUUUGGGUCCUGCAGAGAUACUGGUACCUGUGUGAGCAAGUGUAAGACUAGGCCCUUCUUUAUUACGGAGGUGCUGGUUGCAGGUAAGGCUGAGCUUCAUUUUGCAAUUAAAGGGAUUCAGUCUUUGUUUUGUAUCAAAAAUACAGCCUAGUGUCCCCCAAACUUACUCUUUGCGUGCAGAAUAUAUUUUCUGAGCAUUCAUCAUUAAUUAUUUUAUGAAAUGAAAAGUGGGUUCUUUAGGAAACUUAGCAUCCUGUGUCAGUUUUUUUUUCUUUCCCCAAAUACCUUACCAAUGGAGUAACUGACACUUCAAUAUAAUGAAAAUUAGUUGAAAUCUUGCACAGCACCUGCAGUUGAAGAAAUUAGGUUGUAAUUAAGCUAAAUUAAUGAUUUUAUCUAAUCGUUUUGACGGUACAGGUUCUAGCCAGGCUCAGGUAACUUUUAUAUGGGGCCAUUGUGACAGAGGAAAUUCAACCAAUCACCACCCUUUCUCUACAGGUAUUUUGCAAGCAAUUCUAUGAGUUGUAAUGACUCAGUGAUAUAAGGGAGACUGGACACUUGUCAAGAGUUUUUCAUAGGUACAUUAAUAGGCCCAACUGUGUCUGCUCUUUAAAGGCUCACUGGCUGCAUACUAGCUCUGGCAUCAGUGUUUGGAAAGAUUCCCAUGGCACUGCAGCUUCAGCUCUACUGCCCAUUGGAACAGCGCUACGGGCAGAACUGAGGCAGCAGUGUUGGGAAAGCAUUUGGCUCUCACUGCCUUCCUGCACAUAGUGCCAGUCGUACUAACACAGCCCUCUAAACCAAUAAGUCAACUGCAAAUUUCAACUGCAAAUUCACACCAAAGCAGCCAUUGUAAGGUAGCAUUCUCUUUAGGUUUCUUGUUUAGUGUUCAGUUGUGAUAUUUUUAAAAAUUAAGGAAAUUCCAAGACACCAAACUGUUAAAAUGGAAUUAAGGUUCAGGCAUAGUGGUCCACAGACUCUUACAAAUGCUUUCAUCAUACAGUGUUGUUACAGGGAAGAGUUAAGGUACUUUGUGUGCCUUAAUUCUGUAUUUCUCUAAUGUGUUUUUGAUUUCUUGUAAUGCUGGCUUUUGGGAUAGUUACAGCAUCCUUGUAUUGGCUUUUAUUGAAAUUACUGAUUAUGUAUUCCCAACCUUAACGCUGCCUUAACAUCAUUUUAUUAUUAUUAUUAUUUAUUAUUUAUUAUUGUUUUUGUUUUAUCUGGAAAUAAUAGAAAGGAAAGUGGCUAUUAGAUCAGAGGGUGCGUCUGAAAAAGCAGCUAGCUUCUGGGGAGAGGGUAGCAGGGGGAGAGAAAGGGGGUUCAAGCAGUGUUGGAAUCUUUAUUUAAGUAGUCUAGGAAAAGGUUUAAAAUAAAUAUUCAAAAUAUUAGUGAAAAGUUGUUCAGAAGUUCUGCCUGGUAUUUUCUUCCAUGAUCCCAAAAACUACUCUUUAUACUGCAGCUGCGCUGCAGAAAAUUGUUGUCGAACAUCUUGUUUUUAAUGAAAUUUAAAAUCAAUGGGCUUUUCUCAGAUAGCAGCAAUAAGCCAAGCCAGGAGGCUCAUUAGUAGGCUAGUGGUGAGUGUCCUACAUGGCGGAGGGCCCUGUGUCUCUCAGCAACUUGCUAGGAGCACUGAAGCUCGGUCUGCCAAAGCACUCUAGUCCUCCUGCUCGGAGACUACUCCACCAGCUAAUAGGCUUCCUGACCAUGAAACUUUUCUUGUUAUUCCGCUUUAGUUUUGCCGUUCUUCAUUUCUUCCCACUACAGUAGCCAUAGCCCCUUGGAGCGCUCUGAACGCAUAUGCUUCAUAUUAGGGAGGGGAAUCAAACUGCUUUUUUUUUUUACUCUGAGUUAAAUACCUAGUAGUGACUCAAUUUUCAGUGAAUAUUGAACAAGAUUAUUGGAUGUCCUCUAGAGCUCCCAGAGCUGCUCUAGGGCAGUGAGAUCUGGAGUGGGCUAGUUGUGUCCAUCUACUAAUAAGUAAGACUGCUGGAGCUUGGAAUCCAUCAGUGAUCCAUGCAAGCGUCUGUGACAGGCACAAAUGCCGGCAGCUAAUGAAAUGAAGCAGAGAUUCCAUGGGCUCACAGGGCCUGUGCAGAUACACAAAGUCUUGGUUGAGAUGUCCUGGGAAGACGGGCUGGGGGUGAGUAAGAGACCACUGGGGAUGCUCCUUGUACUGAAAUGGUUCUAGAAUGGGGCAGCAUAAAAACAGCUUGUGAUGGUAAUGGUUGCUAUGAACUGUUAAACUCCCAGCAGCAACAGAGAGGCAGGUGCAUGGGAAGUAGCCACAGUGUUUCACAAGGACCUGUUAGAUCGCAACUGUGUUCCUGGCUGCAGACUAUUGAAGGGGGGGUUGGCCUUUGGGCUUUGCUUUCAGAUGUUUUGCCUGAUCUAAUCUCAGUCUUCGACAGAUACAAAUACUUUAAUAAUGAGGUUCAACAAGGACAAGUGCAGAGUCCUGCACUUAGGACGGAAGAAU